GAUGAACGCUGGCGGCGUGCCUAAUACAUGCAAGUCGAGCGAAUGGAUUAAGAGCUUGCUCUUAUGAAGUUAGCGGCGGACGGGUGAGUAACACGUGGGUAACCUGCCCAUAAGACUGGGAUAACUCCGGGAAACCGGGGCUAAUACCGGAUAACAUUUUGAACCGCAUGGUCCGAAAUUGAAAGGCGGCUUCGGCUGUCACUUAUGGAUGGACCCGCGUCGCAUUAGCUAGUUGGUGAGGUAACGGCUAACCAAGGCAACGAUGCGUAGCCGACCUGAGAGGGUGAUCGGCCACAUUGGGACUGAGACACGGCCCAGACUCCUACGGAGGCAGCAGUAGGGAAUCUUCCGCAAUGGACGAAAGUCUGACGGAGCAACGCCGCGUGAGUGAUGAAGGCUUUCGGGUCGUAAAACUCUGUUGUUAGGGAAGAACAAGUGCUAGUUGAAUAAGCUGGCACCUUGACGGUACCUAACCAGAAAGCCACGGCUAACUACGUGCCAGCAGCCGCCGCCG
rnacentral:rRNA from 1 species